GAAUCUGUCUUGAUUUUAUAGUAAUACCCGGUUGCAAUUAUUGGCCGCCAUCUUUGAUUUUUAUAGACGUUCGGGCAAAAGGAGAAAUGUAUAUCCAGACAUGGACUAUAGCUAGAUACUAACUUUUGUGUUAGUUGUUUAGUUGAAAUGUAAUCUUAUUUCUGUAAAAGAAAAAAACAACAACAAACAAAUCAGCCUUUUUUUUUAUAUCAAUGUCAUCAAUGUGUAGGCCUAAUAUUAGACUUUCAAUGAUUCAGAAGUUUCUCUACAGUUUCGUUAUUUUUUUUCCCAGUCAUUGAUGUUAGCAUGUACUACACAAAGAAAAACAGGCAAAGCAUGAAGCCAAAGGAAAUGUUUUUACCAAGGCAUGUUCCUCAAUAGCGGAGAGAGUUUUAUCCAGUGUCGGUUCUGCAGAAGAACCCAUUCAUAGCAGACCACCCAUUGCAGCACUUGUAAGGUCGCUAUAAAGAACCCGACAGACUCUGCGACCAAAAGAUCCCACUGACGUGUCGUCAAGCCUUGACGAAGAUUUCAUCGAUCAUAGUGCACCGGGAUUUUAUCAAAAAAGAGUAAAAGUUGGGGAAAGGCGCCAUCACAUUUUUUGUACUGAUAGACAGAUGCAACUACUCGCACGCGCAAAAACUUGGUAUAUGGAUGCAACUUUUCGGGUGGUGAACAAGCCAUGGUCUCAGCUGUUUUCCAUACACGCCUUCAUUAAGACUGGAGAGACCACCCGACAGUUACCAUUGGUGUUUUGUGUAAUGUCGGGUAAAAGCCAAGACGACUAUUAUAAGUUUCCAUAUUAGAUGCCAUAGCAAAUCAAAGAUCAUAUAAUAAAAUAAGUCAAAAAACCCAAAUAUGGGAAAAGAAAGAGCUGAAGAAAUGGUGAUUUGAGCACCUAUGAUUUCUCAUAGGUGUUUUUGGAGGUUAACUACAUCAGAAAGAUCAAGACAGUUGGAAAUGGCUAUUCAUAUUAUGGAAACUUUUUCUCACAGGGCUUGAUAAUCAGGUAAAAUGUAAGUAACAU